GGACCUGACUGCUAUCGGAUUGAUACUAAGCCAUGCGAGUCAUUGUAGCAAUACAAGGCAUACGGCUCAGUAACGCGUAGUCAACCUAACCUAUGGACGGGAAUAACCUCGGGAAACUGAGAAUAAUGCCCGAUAGAACAUUAUGCCUGGAAUGGUUUAUGUUCCAAAUGAUUUAUCGCCGUAGGAUGGGACUGCGGCCUAUCAGUUUGUUGGUGAGGUAAUGGCCCACCAAGACUAUUACAGGUACGGGCUCUGAGAGGAGUAGCCCGGAGAUGGGUACUGAGACACGGACCCAGGCCCUAUGGGGCGCAGCAGGCGAGAAAACUUUGCAAUGUGCGAAAGCACGACAAGGUUAAUCCGAGUGGUUUCUGCUAAAGGAACCUUUUGUCAGUCCUAGAAACACUGAUGAAUAAGGGGUGGGCAAGUUCUGGUGUCAGCC
rnacentral:rRNA from 1 species